CCUACGGGUGGCAGCAGUGGGGAAUAUUGGACAAUGGGCGAAAGCCUGAUCCAGCCAUGCCGCGUGUGUGAAGAAGGCCUUCGGGUUGUAAAGCACUUUCAGUGGGGAAGAAAGCCUUGGGGCUAAUACCCUCGAGGAAGGACAUCACCCACAGAAGAAGCACCGGCUAACUCCGUGCCAGCAGCCGCGGUAAUACGGAGGGUGCGAGCGUUAAUCGGAAUUACUGGGCGUAAAGCGCGCGUAGGCGGUCUGAUAAGCCGGUUGGGAAAGCCCCGGGCUCAACCUGGGAACGGCAUCCGGAACUGUCAGGCUAGAGUGCAGGAGAGGAAGGUAGAAUUCCCGGUGUAGCGGUGAAAUGCGUAGAGAUCGGGAGGAAUACCAGUGGCGAAGGCGGCCUUCUGGACUGACACUGACGCUGAGGUGCGAAAGCGUGGGUAGCAAACAGGAUUAGAUACCCGAGUAGUC
rnacentral:rRNA from 1 species